AUUGAACGCUGGCGGCAUGCUUUACACAUGCAAGUCGAACGGUAACAGGUUAAGCUGACGAGUGGCGAACGGGUGAGUAAUGCAUCGGAACGUGCCCGGUCGUGGGGGAUAACGCAGCGAAAGCUGCGCUAAUACCGCAUACGAUCUGAGGAUGAAAGCGGGGGACCGGAAGGCCUCGCGCGAUCGGAGCGGCCGAUGUCAGUUUAGGUAGUUGGUGGGGGAAAGGCUCACCAAGCCAACGAUCUGUAGCUGGGCUGAGAGGACGACCAGCCACACUGGGACUGAUACACGGCCCAGACUCCUACGGGAGGCAGCAGUGGGGAAUUUUGGACAAUGGGCGAAAGCCUGAUCCAGCAAUGCCGCGUGCAGGAAGAAGGCCUUCGGGUUGUAAACUGCUUUUGUACGGAGCGAAAAGGUCUCCUCUAAUACAGGGGGCUCAUGACGGUACCGUAAGAAUAAGCACCGGCUAACUACGUGCCAGCCGCCGCCGUAA
rnacentral:rRNA from 1 species